rnacentral:rRNA from 1 species
AUUGAACGCUGGCGGCAGGCCUAACACAUGCAAGUCGAGCGGAUGAAGAGAGCUUGCUCUCUGAUUUAGCGGCGGACGGGUGAGUAAUGCCUAGGAAUCUGCCUGGUAGUGGGGGAUAACGUUCCGAAAGGAACGCUAAUACCGCGUACGUCCUACGGGAGAAAGCAGGGGACCUUCGGGCCUUGCGCUAUCAGAUGAGCCUAGGUCGGAUUAGCUAGUUGGUGAGGUAAUGGCUCACUAAGGCGACGAUCCGUAACUGGUCUGAGAGGAUGAUCAGUCACACUGGAACUGAGACACGGUCCAGACUCCUACGGGAGGCAGCAGUGGGGAAUAUUGGACAAUGGGAGAAAGCCUGAUCCAGCCAUGCCGCGUGUGUGAAGAAGGUCUUCGGAUUGUAAAGCACUUUAAGUUGGGAGGAAGGGCAGUAAGUUAAUACCUUGCUGUUUUGACGUUACCGACAGAAUAAGCACCGGCUAACUUCGUGCCAGCCGCCGCGGUAAAAC